UUUUAUUUUUACUUUUUCAGCCGUUUGGGAAAUCAUAGUUUAUUUGCCUUUUUAUUAGGAUUUUGUUUUUCUGAUGCUGCGUUUUGAUUUAUUUUUUCUGAGGAACUUUCAUUAUUGCAUUGCUGUCAUUUUUUGAGCAAUUGUUGAAUUGCAUUUUUUUGUCCCCUCAAUUUUGAGGAAUGUUUUUGCCUUCAUAACACAGUUUAGAUUUUGAUUCUCAAAUUGUGGCUUCUGUCUUCUGCAGUUACGGUCAGGCAAUCAAGGUAAACUGUGCAUAUGCCAGUGGCCAGAGGGAGGUUACUUCAGGCCACUUCAACAUCUUUGUUGGUGACCCUAAGUCCUGAAAUCACUGAUGGGACUCUGUUUGCAUGCUUUUCAGUGUAUUCCAGCUGUUCAGAUGCACGGGUUAUGUGGGAUCAUAAAACUGGGCGCUCAAGGGGAUUUGCCUUUGUUUCUUUCCGUAAUCAGCGGAUGGAGGAGGUCAAGAGAAUGUAAGUGACGAGGCCCCUGAAAACAACCCCGUAUUUUCAACCGUCUAUGUUGGUAAUCUUGCACACGAGGCGACUCCAACUGAACUCCAUCGCCAGUUUCAUUCUCUUGGGGCUGGUGUCAUUGAAGAAGUGCAUGUAAGAGAGAUAAAGGUUUUGGAUUUGUAAGGUACCAGUACGACACACAUGAUCAAGCAGCCCUGGCCAUGGAAUCUAUGCUGGCACCUGGCAACUUAAUCGGGUGCCCAUGGAUAGCUGCAACAUUACUCAAUCAACAACUGUUUCCCAGAAUCUGCCACAAGUUGGACAUAUAACUGUUUCCCAUGAAUGGAUUAUAAAAUGAUUAAAAUGAA